rnacentral:rRNA from 1 species
CAGUCGCCGCGGGAAUACGUAGGUGGCAAGCGUUGUCCUGAAUUAUUGGGCGUAAAGGGCUCGCAGGCGGUUUCUUAAGUCUGAUGUGAAAGCCCCCGGCUCAACCGGGGAGGGUCAUUGGAAACUGGGAAACUUGAGUGCAGAAGAGGAGAGUGGAAUUCCACGUGUAGCGGUGAAAUGCGUAGAGAUGUGGAGGAACACCAGUGGCGAAGGCGUCUCUCUGGUCUGUAACUGACGCUGAGGAGCGAAAGCGUGGGGAGCGAACAGGAUUAGAUACCCCCGUAGUCCCUGUCUCUUAUAC